UACGUAGGGUGCAAGCGUUGUCCGGAAUUAUUGGGCGUAAAGAGCGUGUAGGCGGCCCGACCAGUCCGCUGUGAAAGUCCAGGGCUCAACCCUGGAAUGCCGGUGGAUACUGUCGGGCUAGAGUCCGGAAUGGGCGAGUGGAAUUCCUGGUGUAGCGGUGAAAUGCGCAGAUAUUAGGAGGAACACCGGUGGCGAAGGCGCCACUCUGGGCCGAAACUGACGCUGAGGAGCGAAAGCGUGGGUAGCAAACAGG
rnacentral:rRNA from 1 species